rnacentral:rRNA from 1 species
GGGUUGUGAGGUUAAGCGACUAAGCGUACACGGUGGAUGCCCUGGCAGUCAGAGGCGAUGAAGGACGUGCUAAUCUGCGAUAAGCGCCGGUAAGGUGAUAUGAACCGUUAUAACCGGCGAUUUCCGAAUGGGGAAACCCAGUGUGAUUCGUCACACUAUCAUUAACUGAAUCCAUAGGUUAAUGAGGCGAACCGGGGGAACUGAAACAUCUAAGUACCCCGAGGAAAAGAAAUCAACCGAGAUUCCCCCAGUAGCGGCGAGCGAACGGGGAGGAGCCCAGAGCCUGAAUCAGCAUGUGUGUUAGUGGAAGCGUCUGGAAAGGCGCGCGAUACAGGGUGACAGCCCCGUACACAAAAGCGCAUGUGCUGUGAGCUCGAUGAGUAGGGCGGGACACGUGGUAUCCUGUCUGAAUAUGGGGGGACCAUCCUCCAAGGCUAAAUACUCCUGACUGACCGAUAGUGAACCAGUACCGUGAGGGAAAGGCGAAAAGAACCCCGGCGAGGGGAGUGAAAAAGAACCUGAAACCGUGUACGUACAAGCAGUGGGAGCACCCUUCGGGGUGUGACUGCGUACCUUUUGUAUAAUGGGUCAGCGACUUAUAUUCUGUAGCAAGGUUAACCGUAUAGGGGAGCCGGAGGGAAACCGAGUCUUAACCGGGCGUUAAGUUGCAGGGUAUAGACCCGAAACCCGGUGAUCUAGCCAUGGGCAGGUUGAAGGUUGGGUAACACUAACUGGAGGACCGAACCGACUAAUGUUGAAAAAUUAGCGGAUGACCUGUGGCUGGGGGUGAAAGGCCAAUCAAACCGGGAGAUAGCUGGUUCUCCCCGAAAGCUAUUUAGGUAGCGCCUCGUGAAUUCAUCUCCGGGGGUAGAGCACUGUUUCGGCUAGGGGGCCAUCCCGGCUUACCAACCCGAUGCAAACUGCGAAUACCGGAGAAUGUUAU